rnacentral:rRNA from 1 species
ACCGAACCAUUUAAUGUUGAAAAAUUAUUGGAUGAGUUGUGUUUAGGGGUGAAAGGCCAAUCAAGCCGGGAAAUAGCUGGUUCUCCGCGAAAACUAUUGAGGUAGUGCCUCGGAUGUUUUCCUAUGGGGGUAGAGCACUGGAUGGGCUAGGGGGUCGCGAGACCUACCAAACCUAACCAAACUCCGAAUACCAUAGAGACAAGUCCGGGAGACAGACG